rnacentral:rRNA from 1 species
GACAGAGGGGGCAAGCGUUGCUCGGAAUUACUGGGCGUAAAGGGCGCGUAGGCGGGAUGGCAAGUCGGUCGUGAAAUCCCUCGGCUCAACUGAGGAUCGUCGAUCGAUACUGCCGUUCUUGAGGAUUGCAGAGGAGACUGGAAUUCCCGGUGUAGCGGUGAAAUGUGUAGAGAUCGGGAGGAACACCGGUGGCGAAGGCGGGUCUCUGGACAGUUCCUGACACUGAGACACGAAGGCCAGGGGAGCAAACGGG